CGGUUGUCCCGGUUUAAGCGUGUAGGCUGGUUUUCCAGGCAAAUCCGGAAAAUCAAGGCUGAGGCGUGAUGACGAGGCACUACGGUGCUGAAGCAACAAAUGCCCUGCUUCCAGGAAAAGCCUCUAAGCAUCAGGUAACAUCAAAUCGUACCCCAAACCGACACAGGUGGUCAGGUAGAGAAUACCAAGGCGCUUGAGAGAACUCGGGUGAAGGAACUAGGCAAAAUGGUGCCGUAACUUCGGGAGAAGGCACGCUGAUAUGUAGGUGAAGUCCCUCGCGGAUGGAGCUGAAAUCAGUCGAAGAUACCAGCUGGCUGCAACUGUUUAUUAAAAACACAGCACUGUGCAAACACGAAAGUGGACGUAUACGGUGUGACGCCUGCCCGGUGCCGGAAGGUUAAUUGAUGGGGUCAGCGCAAGCGAAGCUCUUGAUCGAAGCCCCGGUAAACGGCGGCCGUAACUAUAACGGUCCUAAGGUAGCGAAAUUCCUUGUCGGGUAAGUUCCGACCUGCACGAAUGGCGUAAUGAUGGCCAGGCUGUCUCCACCCGAGACUCAGUGAAAUUGAACUCGCUGUGAAGAUGCAGUGUACCCGCGGCAAGACGGAAAGACCCCGUGAACCUUUACUAUAGCUUGACACUGAACAUUGAGCCUUGAUGUGUAGGAUAGGUGGGAGGCUUUGAAGUGUGGACGCCAGUCUGCAUGGAGCCGACCUUGAAAUACCACCCUUUAAUGUUUGAUGUUCUAACGUGGACCCGUGAUCCGGGUUGCGGACAGUGUCUGGUGGGUAGUUUGACUGGGGCGGUCUCCUCCUAAAGAGUAACGGAGGAGCACGAAGGUUGGCUAAUCCUGGUCGGACAUCAGGAGGUUAGUGCAAUGGCAUAAGCCAGCUUGACUGCGAGCGUGACGGCGCGAGCAGGUGCGAAAGCAGGUCAUAGUGAUCCGGUGGUUCUGAAUGGAAGGGCCAUCGCUCAACGGAUAAAAGGUACUCCGGGGAUAACAGGCUGAUACCGCCCAAGAGUUCAUAUCGACGGCGGUGUUUGGCACCUCGAUGUCGGCUCAUCACAUCCUGGGGCUGAAGUAGGUCCCAAGGGUAUGGCUGUUCGCCAUUUAAAGUGGUACGCGAGCUGGGUUUAGAACGUCGUGAGACAGUUCGGUCCCUAUCUGCCGUGGGCGCUGGAGAACUGAGGGGGGCUGCUCCUAGUACGAGAGGACCGGAGUGGACGCAUCACUGGUGUUCGGGUUGUCAUGCCAAUGGCACUGCCCGGUAGCUAAAUGCGGAAGAGAUAAGUGCUGAAAGCAUCUAAGCACGAAACUUGCCCCGAGAUGAGUUCUCCCUGACCCUUUAAGGGUCCUGAAGGAACGUUGAAGACGACGACGUUGAUAGGCCGGGUGUGUAAGCGCAGCGAUGCGUUGAGCUAACCGGUACUAAUGAACCGUGAGGCUUAACCUU
rnacentral:rRNA from 1 species